rnacentral:rRNA from 1 species
CACACGACUCUCGGCAACGGAUAUCUUGGCUCUCGCAUCGAUGAAGAACGUAGCGAAAUGUGAUACCUGGUGUGAAUUGCAGAAUGCCGUGAACCAUCGAGUCUUUGAACGCAAGUUGCGCCCGAGGCCACUCGGCCGAGGGCACGCUUGCCUGGGCGUCAUGC